AGUGAACGCUGGCGGUAGGCCUAACACAUGCAAGUCGAACGGCAGCACAGUAAGAGCUUGCUCUUACGGGUGGCGAGUGGCGGACGGGUGAGGAAUACAUCGGAAUCUACUUUUUCGUGGGGGAUAACGUAGGGAAACUUACGCUAAUACCGCAUACGACCUACGGGUGAAAGCAGGGGAUCUUCGGACCUUGCGCGAUUGAAUGAGCCGAUGUCGGAUUAGCUAGUUGGCGGGGUAAAGGCCCACCAAGGCGACGAUCCGUAGCUGGUCUGAGGGAUGAUCAGCCACACUGGAACUGAGACACGGUCCAGACUCCUACGGGAGGCAGCAGUGGGGAAUAUUGGACAAUGGGCGCAAGCCUGAUCCAGCCAUACCGCGUGGGUGAAGAAGGCCUUCGGGUUGUAAAGCCCUUUUGUUGGGAGAGAAAAGCAGCAGGUUAAUACCCCGCUGUUCUGACGGUACCCAAAGAAUAAGCACCGGCUAACUUCGUG
rnacentral:rRNA from 1 species